rnacentral:snRNA from 1 species
CAAAUAAAUUUCUCCAUCGACAAUCAGGGGUUCCUUAAGGUCUGGGCAAGAGAGUUGGACAGCAACAAACACAAGGUGUGGGUCAGCAACGGAGG